rnacentral:lncRNA from 1 species
UUUGUUGCAAUAAAUGUUUAAAACAUGUUAAACAUGUCGGUGGACCCCAUUUAUUGACUGAAAUUUGAUUAUAGCCUGUAAAAUCGCCCAUUUGUGGAUUUCGGUCAAUUUCUGUUUGGAAUUUGGAAAAACUUUCUUCUGUAAAGUUGUAGAGAAUUGAAUUUCCUAUAAAAACUCGCGAGAUUCGAAUUUUCUGGCAAAAGGGCUAUUUAUUGUGAAUUAUUGAAGUUCCGAAGCUCCGAAAUAAUUGAUUUUUAGAAGUUUUAAUUAUUUUAUAAUAGAAAAACGUUUUUUUGAUGUGUGAGCCUCAUUUUACAUGUGUUAGUUGGCUGGAAAUCAGAUUCAAAGGUU